UAUGACGUAUGAUAAGUUCCGCCAUAAGCCCUGCUAUAGGGCCACCUAUGGGUACACCCUUUUUUAUAAAUAGCACUGCCCUUGAAACAUGUAAUACGAAUUAUAGGUAAUGAGAUGGCACACAUCCCGGAUGAGUUCACUGCAUCUAGCUAAAUCUGGGAGAUGUACUAAUAUAAACCUGUAGAGCAUAAGCACUGCAGGUACAUGUACAAUAGAUGGAUAUAGAGAGUCAAAAUCAGUUAUCGUAUAUGACUCAAUUGAUAGCAGUCCGAACUCUAAAAACUUAUCGAGGAAGUCCAAGGAGGACUCUACAACAUAAAGUAACCUUCAAGGUAAGGAGCUGCCCAUUUAGCAAUAGCUUUUUCAAGAUUAAAAAUCAGGGAGGAUACUUUAUCAACCAUGGGUCGGAUUGCAACAGGUGUUUUGUGUGUUUUUAUGUAUCCAAAUAAUCUCGGUGGAUAUGGGAACAAACUUUUUUAAACUUCCAUUGGUCUGGGAAAAGUUUCGAUUUAGCUAUUCUUUUAACAGCAUUAUGUAUGUGAUCAGUUGGGUCUGAUACCAGUAUCUCCAACUGAGACUGAUCUAUAAACAUACAUAGGAGAUCAUUAUACUUAGAUUUUUCAAUGAAAACUACCUUCUUUGACUUAUCAUCUUUCGUACAUAUAAUCAAGCCGGUGAUCAUCCAAUCUAUAGCAUACUUUACAAGGGCUUUAUGCUUGGCCGUUACCUCCUUAUUAUUUCUUUUAUCCGCAAUCUUAGAAUUAAUAAUAUCUCAUUGGAUCUUCUCCAUAUGGACGUCAUCAAACCUCAAAAGUAUUCGGUCUAUACUAGGUGCCAAAUUACAUAGUUUUGGUGCAAUAUGGGGCACAGCAGAAUAGUUGAGUAAUAUGAGUUCUUUAACCGGUUCUGGGACCACAAGAUCACCAACAACAGUGGCCACAUCCUCAAAGGUUAAUUUACAUGCAUGGCUACAGGUAUUCUGCUUAUAGAGGAUCCAUUUAAAUUUUUUAAUAUAACAGUUUCUUGUCUUUUUUCUAAAUAGUUGCAGAUCUGUCUGUGCAUUAAGUAGAGAUUGCUGGAUCACAUGUCCAUAUUUCACAUUUAGUGAGAGUUCAAUAGAGCGUAGCUUUUUUCUAACAGCAUACUCUAAAAUUGUUGAAGGUGUCUGGGGGGGAACACAAGAAUAUGUAUAUGGGACGCACUCGUGACAUUCCCAUAUCCAAGGUUCUGACGCGCCCACAUCUCUCAAAGCAAUAUGGGAUAGAAGUGUUGACUGUACCCUUAAUAAGAAAACCAUACUGUAACACUGUCAGUGACAAUCAGCUUGCCGAUCUGCCGGAGUCUUGGAGGUGGUGUGCUUUGCACAGCAUAUAACUGAUGCCAUGCUCUGAAUCGAGACAUUUCUGUGUGGAAUCUGCUGAGAUGGAUGUUUCUCUGCUGGGCUUGCCUUGUCCUGAAGGAUAUUGGCCUGUUUGUUUGCAGUUUUGGACUGUUUUUUAUUUGUGUGUUUCCUGUGUUAUGUGUUGGUGUUGGCGCUUUUUGUUUACGGUUUUGAUAUGUUGUGCGUGAUGAUGUAUGCUGCAUUCCUGCUGUUUGUCUAUCUAAUCGGCAUUGUUCGCAUUAUAUAUUUCUGUUGCUGUUAUGGUUGUU
rnacentral:lncRNA from 1 species